GAUGAACGCUGGCGGCGUGCCUAAUACAUGCAAGUCGAGCGAAUGGAUUAAGAGCUUGCUCUUAUGAAGUUAGCGGCGGACGGGUGAGUAACACGUGGGUAACCUGCCCAUAAGACUGGGAUAACUCCGGGAAACCGGGGCUAAUACCGGAUAACAUUUUGAACUGCAUGGUUCGAAAUUGAAAGGCGGCUUCGGCUGUCACUUAUGGAUGGACCCGCGUCGCGUUAGCUAGUUGGUGAGGUAACGGCUCACCAAGGCAACGAUGCGUAGCCGACCUGAGAGGGUGAGCGGCCACACUGGGACUGAGACACGGCCCAGACUCCUACGGGAGGCAGCAGUAGGGAAUCUUCCGCAAUGGACGAAAGUCUGACUGAGCAACGCCGCGUGAGUGAUGAAGGCUUUCGGGUCGUAAAACUCUGUUGUUAGGGAAGAACAAGUGCUAGUUGAAUAAGCUGGCACCUUGACGGUACCUAACCAGAAAGCCACGGCUAACUACGUGCCAGCAGCCGCCGUAACAC
rnacentral:rRNA from 1 species